rnacentral:rRNA from 1 species
CUAUAAGACUGGGAUAACUUCGGGAAACCGGAGCUAAUACCGGAUAAUAUUUUGAACCGCAGGGUUCAAAAGUGAAAGACGGUCUUGCUGUCACUUAUAGAUAGAUCCUCGCUGCAGUAGCUAGUUGGUAAGGUAACGGCUUACCAAGGCAACGAUGCAAAGCCGACCUGAGAGGGUGAUCGGCCACACUGGAACUGAGACACGGUCCAGACUCCUACGGGAGGCAGCAGUAGGGAAUCUUCCGCAAUGGGCGAAAGCCUGACGGAGCAACGCCACGUGAGUGAUGAAGGUCUUCGGAUCGUAAAACUCUAUUAUUAGGGAAGAACAUAUGUGUAAGUAACUGUGCACAUCUCGACGGUACCUAAUCAGAAAGCCACGGCUAACUACGUGCCAGCAGCCACGGUAAUACGUAGGUGGCAAGCGUUAUCCGGAAUUAUUGGGCGUAAAGCGCGCGUAGGCGGUUUUUUAAGUCUGAUGUGAAAGCCCACGGCUCAACCGUGGAGGGUCAUUGGAAACUGGAAAACUUGAGUGCAGAAGAUGAAAGUGGAAUUCCAUGUGUAGCGGUGAAAUGCGCAGAGAUAUGGAGGAACACCAGUGGCGAAGGCGACUUUCUGGUCUGUAACUGACGCUGAUGUGCGAAAGCGUGGGGAUCAAACAGGAUUAGAUACCCUGGUAGUCCACGCCGUAAACGAUGAGUGCUAAGUGUUAGGGGGUUUCCGCCCCCUAAUGCUGCAGCUAACGCAUUAGGCACUCCGCCUGGGGAGUACGACCGCCAGGUUGAAACUCAGAGGAAUUGACGGGGACCCGCACAAGCGGUGGAACAUGUGGUUUAAUUCAAAACAACGCCUAGAACCUUACCAAAUCUUGACAUCCUUUGACAACUCUAGAGAUAGAGCCAUC